GACGAACGCUGGCGGCGUGCCUAAUACAUGCAAGUCGAGCGAACAGACGAGGAGCUUGUUCCUCUGACGUUAGCGGCGGACGGGUGAGUAACACGUGGAUAACCUACCUAUAAGACUGGGAUAACUUCGGGAAACCGGAGCUAAUACCGGAUAAUAUAUUGAACCGCAUGGUUCAAUAGUGAAAGACGGUUUUGCUGUCACUUAUAGAUGGAUCCGCGCCGCAUUAGCUAGUUGGUAAGGUAACGGCUUACCAAGGCAACGAUGCGUAGCCGACGUGAGAGGGUGAUCGGCCACACUGGAGCUGGAACAGGGUCCAGACUCCUACGGGAGGCAGCAGUAGGGAAUCUUCCGCAAUGGGCGAAAGCCUGACGGAGCAACGCCGCGUGAGUGAUGAAGGUCUUCGGAUCGUAAAACUCUGUUAUUAGGGAAGAACAAAUGUGUAAGUAACUGUGCACGUCUUGACGGUACCUAAUCAGAAAGCCACGGCUAACUACGUG
rnacentral:rRNA from 1 species